UGCUUUUGGCGUUUGUGGUGGUGUUUACCUGUCAAUGUGGUAAGAAGCAAAAAUUUGUAAGUCAUCACUGAGGCUUUUCUGCUUUUUUUAUUGUAAUGAGGAUGAGGAGGUAAGUGCUUGCUGUGCCCUGUGCAUGCCCAGUAAUAAGGAACUAAAAAUACUAACAGCCUAAAAGCUUUCUUUCAAUUGGGAAAUAUAUUUAUAUAUACGAUUGGCUAACCUAACAAUUCUCUCACUUGUCAGAUGUGUUUAUUGAGGCCGUUAAUGCAUUAAUAGCACUUCUGCACUGGCAUGGAGUUCACUGUGCUUACUGAACCUGAUUUAUGCAGGAAAUUCAAUCUUGGUUGCCAGGGAUUUUUCCAAAGCUGUCAUCCAUUCAUAGGACAAGCAAUGUAAUUUUUUUAGUACCAUUUCUGGAAGCUUUGAGCCACCAGAGGGGCACAGCCAUGCUGCUGCUGAACGCAGGCCCAUGGGAUGGUGGACGUUGGAGUUGCUCUGCAGCUACCAACAGAAAACCACUGUUAUUUACAGCAUUUUCAGCAGUUCUUGAAACUUCUUGACAGAUGUCGUAUGCCUCCUACUGUUUAUGCUGUGCAGUUACAUGUACUCAGUCUUUUAGUUGUAGGUGUGUGGGUAUGCAUGCACAGAGCUAUACAUGAAGCUGCAUGGCUGAACUACAAGCCCUGCACAGGCACUGGAGCGCCGAGAGAUGUCGAGUGCCACAGGUGGCUCUGAGGGAGCGCUGUGGCUCUUCUCCCCACGUACCCUUCCCCUGACCCAGCUCACCUGCCCGCAUGGCAGCAGUGCUCCGGCUUGGUGCUGGUGAUGGCUUUGCCCCUGGGGGCUGCGGGCAGCCCCUGGCCCCCCGCCGCCUGCCCUUGCUGCCCUCUCGUCCGAUGGUUGCUGCAGGAGCCCCAGCGUGGCCCCGUGCCACUGCCCCCGAGCCUGCUGGGGAGGGAAAGAGGAGGGAGAGUCAGUGACCAUGGCAUUCCCCCUUCUCCGUGACACCCUCCACCUCCCCUCAGCACUUUCCCCAACAUCCCCCUGAGGUUUUACCCCCGUCUCCCUUCCCUCCUCUCAUGCCUUCCCUCUCCAUUUCCCCUCAGGUAUUACCGCUCCAUCUCCCCUUCCCUCAGUGGCUCCCUCCUCUCAGUGCUCUCCCUCUCCCUUUCCCCUCAGCACCUUCCCUUUCUCCUCACCUGCCGCCUCCUCUCCUCCUCUGGGCACCUUCCCCUCCAUCUCACUGGGCCCUUCCCCUUCCCCUCCGCUGCCUCAGCGAGGUCUCCAGGGCAGCCAUGGCGCGGGGGCCAGCCCGGGCCUGCCCGCUUGGCCAGGGCCCAGCGCUGGCUGCGAUCACUGCGUCCCCCUGUGCCUGGCUGUGGCAGAAAGCCCAGGCUUCCCUGAGGUACCGCAGCCUUCGCCAUGAAGUCCUGAAGGGAAAUUGCCCCUUCAACCUCUCUGCCUAGCCCACCAAGCAGGGCGAUGGCGGUGCUCCUUGGAUGGCUGCUGAGGGGAACAGAGCUCGGCUCGGCACAACACGCGGCUCUCCUGCCACUCUGCGAGCCUGUUGUGAGGUGAGCUGAGUUGUUAACAGCCUCGCUGGGGAGAUGAGAGCACUUAAUUGGGAGGUGAGCCCGGAUGAAAAGCACUGGCGGGCUCUUUUGCAGCAGUCACUGAAGUAAUGCACCGCCUUCUUUGUCCUCCUGCCCCUGGGUAUAAUGGGAGGUUUAGUUCUGGUUUUGUUGCCUUCCCCCCUUUCCUCUCUGCCUCUUCCCUUCUCUCCUUCUGAUCUAUUUAGAUGUGAAAUUUGGCAGAUGCUUGCAGCUGCAUUCAGACAGGUUGUGAUGAAAUCGGCCUCCCAGGAGGCUGCUCCCAUGGCGGCUCCGCGGGCUGCAGGCAGCACUUCUCCGACUGCAGCUAAUGGUCUGAUUUCAAAGUGUCAACAGCAGGGAUUUUGCAGUGAUGGUUAUUACUAAUGCUGUACAGCAGCCAGCAGGUCUCCAGAGCGUGCGUGCGGAUGAAAGGGAUGGUGACACGGGGCAGAAAGGCGAGGCAAACAGGAACGGCAGUGAUGGGAUGUAAAUAAUUCAUCCGGGCUGAAAACCAAAUUAGAGCCCAGUGGUCAUGGCUGGCAUGGUCCACACAGAAGAAGACUCAUCUGAUAUCAGGCAUGUCGGGCAGGCAGGACCAUCAGCAGCGUUCCCUGCUUAAUCUGCCCCUGCUGAGGCUGGCUGAGAGGCAGAGGGGUGGCGAGGUGCUCUCCAGCAGCAGCUCUCAAGGCCCAGCUUUGCGGUCGGACUCUGAAGCAUCCGUGGUUCUGCGGGGAUCUCGACAAGCUGAUUUGACAGCAGAAUGGAUACAGGCUCUGCGAUGUGUGUCGUUUCCUGUGCCUAUUGUUCUUGCCAGUACGGCUUGCUAAAUAAGUAAUUAGCAUUUGUGAGAGUCUUCAGAAUGUGAGGUGAGACAAGUUUUACAGUGAUGAACUAUGAGGGAGUGGGCUUGAAGCAGCUGUGGAGAGCAGGAGAGCCAUGCAGGUCCCUGCGUGCUAAGGUGAGAGGAGCCGCCCGGCUCACCCCAUCCUGCCCUGUGUCCGUGCCAUCCUUCGAAGGGACCCAGCUUCUGAUGACACGGGGAGACCUCUCGCAGCAGUCCUGGCAGGGAGGGAAAAUGGAAACAACAUCACUUUAACUCCCAGAGCCUAGGAAAGGGCCUGUCUUGUCUGUUAUGGUGUGAUCCCCCUCCAAGACAUGGCAAGGAGCAGACCCCCAGCCAUCACAGCAGUUCCUUACAAGCAUCUCUGCCUGCUCUGGGGACACCUAUUGCUCCACAGCCCCCCGGGCACUUCAGGGUUGCACAGAGCCACUCGAGCAGUGGGUCCCAAACCCCCGUCCUCCUGCCCUGACAGUGCUGUGGCUUCCAGAUGGAGCAACUGCAUGGUCCUCAUGGCUGCAUUUCCCCGUCACAGGGAAGACUGGAGGUGUUUAGAUUGUUUCCCCAGUUGUAAAUUUGGGAGCACCCGGCUUGAGUGAGCCCGCUGCAGGCAGCACAGCAUUCAGUGGUGAUUGGGGUUUUUCCCUGCACUAACCCUCAGCAGCAGCCUUGCACCUUCCUCCCAAAGCCACAUUUUGCUGCUGGUCCCAGGCCACCUUCUGUAGCCUGUUGUUAGGGUCAUGUGUGCAGAUUUUGGCCCACAGUUCUUAAAUUUGCUGAGUUUUGUUCAUUAUUAUUAUUAUUAUUAUUGUUAUUAUUAUUUAAUAUUAGUUGUUUGUUGGGUUUGCUGUUUUUUGGGGGGUUUGUUUUGCUUUUUGUUUUAUUUUCUUUUUGUUGUG